rnacentral:rRNA from 1 species
UACAGAGGGUGCAAGCGUUAAUCGGAAUUACUGGGCGUAAAGCGCACGCAGGCGGUUGGUUAAGUCAAAUGUGAAAGCCCCGGGCUCAACCUGGGAAUUGCAUUUGAAACUGGGGAACUAGAGUGUGUGAGAGGGGGGUAGAAUUCCAAGUGUAGCGGUGAAAUGCGUAGAGAUUUGGAGGAAUACCAGUGGCGAAGGCGGCCCCCUGGCACAACACUGACGCUCAGGUGCGAAAGCGUGGGGAGCAAACAGG